CAGCAGCCACGGUAAUACGUAGGUGGCAAGCGUUGUCCGGAAUUAUUGGGCGUAAAGGGCUCGCAGGCGGUUUCUUAAGUCUGAUGUGAAAGCCCCCGGCUCAACCGGGGAGGGUCAUUGGAAACUGGGAAACUUGAGUGCAGAAGAGGAGAGAGGAAUUCCACGUGUAGCGGUGAAAUGCGUAGAGAUGUGGAGGAACACCAGUGGCGAAGGCGACUCUCUGGUCUGUAACUGACGCUGAGGAGCGAAAGCGUGGGGAGCGAACAGGAUUAGAGACCCCAGUAGUCCCUGUCUCUUAUAC
rnacentral:rRNA from 1 species